CAGCAUACACAACACGCAGUUGCGUACAUUUAUUUUUACUACAAGUUUCACUCUCGAAGAAAAUUGUCACCUUCUAAAGUACGUUUCUGUUUCUGCCCAAUAAUCUCUGCAAUCAUGGCAGGUACAAUUUUCAAGCUGUUCUUAAUGAUGCUGAGCAGCGACAAAUCAAUGACCUUGCUGUAAAGAAGUGGCUCGAUGAUCUCAAAGAUGCUGUCUAUGAUGCUGAUGACUUGUUGGAUCGUGUUUCAACCGAAGCAGGAACAACUCAAAAAGAGGUUAAGGUACAUCAAUGACCUCAAAAGAUCGAAAAGAAUGGAAUGAAGAAGCGAAUUCAGAAAGUGAUUUAGGAGUGGAGCUUUUUGGUAGCUCCCGUGAGCAAACCGUUCUCGCAUGAGCAAGAUACUCGCGCAAGUGGCUCUUCCUCGUGUGAGCGAGAUAUUCGCGUGAACGACAUAUCCUUGCGAAUCUCGUGUGUGUGAGCUUUUUCCCCGCGCGCGAGACCAACCCACGUGCCUAGUUUAAUGAAACACAUGCAUCCUCUUUUUUGUACUUUCUUAAGUCCCUCAAUAGCUAUUUCUGAUGGUAUGAUGAAGCCAAGAUGGAAGGGAAAAGGAGGGACAUUCACAUACUCGCCACUUUUACAUUUUUCUUAGGUUUUUAGUGGGAUUCUAGAGAGAAACUCCAACUUUUUUCUAGAAUCCUUAGGGUUUUACUUAAUUUUCUCUUUAGUUUUAGAUUUUAAUUUUGUUUAGGUGUAGUUUCGCUCCUAUUUUCUUAUUCUCACACACUACUUACUUAGAAUAUUUUUUUAGUUUUUUAUCUUGUUAUUUUAGUUUAUGAACACUUGUUAAAUUUUUGUUUACUUUUAAUGAAUUUGAUUUUUUAUGUUUUAUUCUUGCUUACUUACACUACAAGAAAAAUGUUGAGUAUCAUUGAAUUUAGUAUUGCAGAGUAGCGGCGUCUUUACUGGCGGGUUUGGCGUCAAAUUCGUCAUGCCAAAUAUUGCCGGCGGAUUAUCAUUUUCGAUGGUAAAUUUGCCGGUAAUAAUUGGAGGGAAAAAGAGAAAAUUAGGUGCGACAUUUAGGGUUGGAUUUACCGACAGAAAAAUCCGACGGUAAACCCACUUAUUAGAAUGCUGCAUUUUGGUAUUGAAACAUGUUACCAUCGGAUUUUUUCGCCGGUAAAUCCGACGGUAAUUAUGCCCUAAAUUCGAACUGUGAACCCUUUUCACCCCUCAUUUGAAUCUCUCUCUCUCUCUCUCUCUCUCUCUCUCUCUCUCUCUCUCUCUCUAUCCCUCUCCCCUCUCUCUCUAACCCUCUCGCCUCCCACUCUCUCUACCCCUCUCAUCUCUCUGGCAGCCCCCUCCUUCUUCCCCGUUGUUCGUCAUUUUUGCCGUCAUCAUUACUGCUGCCGGAUUCUGCUGCUGCUGCUACCACCGAUUCUGCUGCUGCCGCCGCUUCUGUCGCCCUCUUCCUCUCGGCGUUGGUGCUCUUCUUCACACAUGAGGAGAGGUAGAGGUGUCAUGGAUCAAUCUCGUGGUCGUGGUAGAGGGAUGGUUUCUAUUGGUACCCCUGGGACUUCUCAGUUGUCCUCUUCUACUCCAACUACCCUGGUGACGUCACAGGCAAUGGGUGCACCGGACCAGCCGUUCAUCAUGGUCCCUAACACCAACUAUGAGGCUCCAUCUACCUUGAUGACGCCGCUUUUAUCUGCUCAGUAGUCCACUGUCUCGACGACGUCGACUCCAACGGCAGACACUGGGUGCCGGAAUCCUCUCACGGAUCCCAGCCAGAUGCCCCUUCACUACCUGCCAUCGUACGGAUGACGAUUUGAUUUGAUGGUUUGAUGGCAUAUGUACUAUUUUAAGUCUUUUAUGUGCAAACCACUUUAGUUAGUUAGUUUAAUUUAGUUACACCCAAUUUUCUAAUUUAGUAGAUUUAGGUUGUUAAGAUAAGUUCGAUUUAGGUUUGAACUGCUGAAAAUAUUUGAUAAUUCUUAAUUGUUGAUGGAUGUUGUUGCUUAAGUUAUAUAAUGGCAUAUAGAUGAAGAUAUUAUCUUAAUUGAACCACUUAUUGUUGAUUGAUGGAUGUUGUUGCUUGAUUCUUGAUUCUUGUUUGUUGAUUGUUGAUAGAUGUUGUUGUUUAAGUGAAUUGUUGAUGGAUAUAGUUAUUGGCACAUUCUAGUUAUAAAUGAAACUCUACCAAAAUUUCUAAAAAAAAUCUAAAUGUAAUUGAAGUUUAUAGAUUACUUGAAAUAACUUUUUAGUAACCUACUAAUCUUAAGUUUUCCAUUGAUAGGUUUGUGCCAAAUAACAAUGCAUGUAUACAGGAGUGUACUAUUGUCAUCAAGUUGAUGUACGAACACCCAUGGCCGAGCUAUAAGAAGAUCUCGGCAAAGACUAGAGAGCAAUGGUUUUAAAAGUGCGCGGAGAAAUUUAUAUGGAACAAGAAUCACGAUGCCAUAGUCAAGAAGAUCUUCCACCAUCGGAUGGUUAGGCGGCUUCAAUAGAUGUUGGAGGACGUACGUGAGCUCCGCGACCACCUCACCACUUGGCUCCACCCGGAUAUUAAGAAGGCACGGUACGUUCAUUGGGAGACUGACGAGGGAUUCAAGUGUUGCCAUCUCAUGAAUAGAGCUAACAGGGCAUCGGCCAGGUCGUCAAAGUAUACUGCCUAAGUCAUUGGAUCGUGAAGCAAUGAUGGCGGAGACCAUCAAGUAUACUGACACCUUGAAGGAGAACAAGGAGAGAUUUGCUGAUCAGUGGGUUGUGAAUCAUUAUGUGAGUAAACAUCAUGUAGGUUAAAGGUUUUAAUUACCUGUAACCCUACUCAUAAAAUAUGUUGUUACGCAAGAGUCCUACAUGCAGAGUUUGGAGGCUCCAUCCCAGCAAUCUCAGCCUAAUGGAGACGACGGCAACAACUCUGCUGCAUCAGUCGUUGAUCCUGACAUGGUUUGGCGUGAGGAAGCAUCUACUCUUUACAAGAAUCUUGUCUAUAGGCUGGGAUCAUUCUUCACCGACAACCUCCGCACAUCCACAUUGAAAUAUUCAUCAACCCCUGCUACCAGUCAGUCCGUCGAUCCCGAGGACGGCGUCGAUUUGAGCAGGUGCUACUUCUCACCAAGAGCCUUCACUAAUAGGCUCAACAGCUGCGGGAGUCUGAGGAGAAGUAUUAGACAAUCCUCUCACACAUGACAAACCAUGAUGACAUUAAGCUGGAGUGGAGGCGGAAGUUGGAGCGGCUUUAGCGGAUGGAGCGCAACAUGGCACCGUACAACGAUCAGAUGCGCGUUAGAGGCAGUGUUACUACUGGUGCCAGUGGUGCUGUUGGUGGUAACGACCCUACUGGAGGUGCAUAGGCAUCACUGCCUGGGCCGUCCCAUCAGCAGCAAGACCAGCGGGACAAUGACGACAACAACUAUCAGGAUCUUUAGUGACUAGGUUUUUUGAUACAAUGUUUGAUUGUAUCAUAUCAUCUAUUAUUUGACUUUACAUUUUAUUUGUACACUUGAUAAUUUAACAUAUUUGUCUUCUAUUAUUUAGAAUUUAACUACUAAUUGUGUAAAAAAUAAAUUUAAAUAAAAAUUUAAAA